rnacentral:rRNA from 1 species
UUGGGCACUCUAAGUUGACUGCCGGUGACAAACCGGAGGAAGGUGGGGAUGACGUCAAAUCAUCAUGCCCCUUAUGAUUUGGGCUACACACGUGCUACAAUGGACAAUACAAAGGGCAGCGAAACCGCGAGGUCAAGCAAAUCCCAUAAAGUUGUUCUCAGUUCGGAUUGUAGUCUGCAACUCGACUACAUGAAGCUGGAAUCGCUAGUAAUCGUAGAUCAGCAUGCUACGGUGAAUACGUUCCCGGGUCUUGUACACACCGCCCGUCAC